GUUUGAUCAUGGCUCAGAUUGAACGCUGGCGGCAGGCCUAACACAUGCAAGUCGAACGCGAAAGUCACUUCGGUGGCGAGUAGAGUGGCGGACGGGUGAGUAACGCGUAGGAAUCUGCCCUGUAGUGGGGGAUAACCCGGGGAAACUCGGGCUAAUACCGCAUACGCCCCACGGGGGAAAGCGGGGGAUCCUUCGGGACCUCGCGCUAUAGGAAGAGCCUGCGUCGGAUUAGCUAGUUGGUAGGGUAAAGGCCUACCAAGGCGACGAUCCGUAGCUGGUCUGAGAGGACGAUCAGCCACACUGGGACUGAGACACGGCCCAGACUCCUACGGGAGGCAGCAGUGGGGAAUAUUGGACAAUGGGCGCAAGCCUGAUCCAGCAAUACCGCGUGUGUGAAGAAGGCCUUAGGGUUGUAAAGCACUUUCAACGGGGAGGAAUACCUUGGGGCUAAUACCUUCAAGACUGACAUUACCCGUACAAGAAGCACCGGCUAACUCCGUGCCAGCAGCCGCGGUAAUACGGAGGGUGCAAGCGUUAAUCGGAAUUACUGGGCGUAAAGCGUGCGUAGGCGGCCCGUUAAGUCAGAUGUGAAAGCCCCGGGCUCAACCUGGGAACUGCAUUUGAAACUGGCGGGCUAGAGUUGGGUAGAGGUAAGUGGAAUUUCAGGUGUAGCGGUGAAAUGCGUAGAUAUCUGAAGGAACACCAGUGGCGAAGGCGACUUACUGGACCCGAACUGACGCUGAGGUACGAAAGCGUGGGUAGCAAACAGGAUUAGAUACCCUGGUAGUCCACGCCGUAAACGAUGUCGACUAGCCGUUGGGCCCCUAUACGGGCUUAGUGGCGCAGCUAACGCAUUAAGUCGACCGCCUGGGGAGUGCGG
rnacentral:rRNA from 1 species